rnacentral:rRNA from 1 species
AUUGAACGCUGGCGGCAUGCCUUACACAUGCAAGUCGAACGGUAGAGUAGCAAUACUCGAGAGUGGCGAACGGGUGAGUAAUAUAUCGGAACGUGCCCAAUCGUGGGGGAUAACGUAGAGAAAUUUACGCUAAUACCGCAUACGAUCCAAGGAUGAAAGCGGGGGAUCGCAAGACCUCGCGCGAUUGGAGCGGCUGAUAU